rnacentral:rRNA from 1 species
UACAGAGGUCUCAAGCGUUGUUCGGAUUCAUUGGGCGUAAAGGGUGCGUAGGCGGCGCGCUAAGUCAGGUGUGAAAUUUCGGAGCUUAACUCCGAAACUGCAUUUGAUACUGGUGUGCUUGAGGACUGGAGAGGAGACUGGAAUUCAUGGUGUAGCAGUGAAAAUGCGUAGAGAUCAUGAGGAAGACCAGUGGCGAAGGCGGGUCUCUGGACAGUUCCUGACACUGAGGCACGAAGGCCCAGGGGGAGCAAAACGGGG